UACAUGAUUUUCUGCUCCUAUUUUUCCCCUUAUGACAAUGUGUUAUGGUAGAUUGUUGAUGCCGCUGAGAUCUAAAUCAGGGGUUUUCCCCGACUGGGAGCUUUAACUACACCUGUUGAAUGUGACAGGUAGCGAAUCAGAAAGCACAGAUUCUCCUCAGUGCUUUCUGAGGGGAAAUUACAGAGGGGAAUCCCAAACAGCUGACACCAUGCAACAACAUUAAUGUUUAUUCAACAUGCAAAGAAUAUAGAAAUGACAAGGGGAGGAGUUGGAAGUAAAUUGCUACUGCAGAUGAUAAACCCGGUAACUUUUCAGCUGUUCUUCGUUAACGUGACAUAAAUGGGUUAUAGGGGAGAGCGGGGUAUUGUGAGACAUUGGGUCAUGUGAGACACCCCUUAUAUCUAGGCAAUGGAACAAAAUUAUGGUCAUGUGACCAUUAUAUUUACAAGCCCCUCCCAUUCUCCCCUUGCCAGGAAGGUGAAGUAGGUGCUGUUGCUGUGGUAAGUAUGUUUUUUUCAUAAAAAUGCGGUUUUUGCACGUGAAAGUAAAUUUUCUAGCUAUAAACGUAAUUAACUAUUGUGUCAAAGCAAAUUAAUUCAGGUAGAAAAAUUUAUACCAUGCAUGUUGAUGAACUUCCAACAUAUACAACCAUGUGAUUGAUGCUAGUUCAAGAUUAGCCUGACUUGCUAGAGAUGUUGUUUUUUAUAAAAUGGUGGCUGUGGGGUUAAAUGAGACAAAUGCCGUGGGGUAAUGUGAUACACUGUCUUACGUUACCCCAUCAUGAAGUACAAUUUAAGUUUAGUCUUAAACAUAUUUAGUGUAAUAUUACAUUACAUCUGUUUAAUUUUUAUGUCAUAACCAUUGUAGAAAAGCCAUCAUGCCAAGAAAGUACACCAGGAAAACAACCUGGGGACAAACACCCCUCGCAGAAUUGGAGAGUGCAGCUGCUGAGGUCAGGCAAGGAAAGAAGUCUUUAAGACAAGCUGGCAGGGACAGAAAUAUUGACAAGACAACCCUACAAAGAUUCAUAAAGAAAAAAGAGAAAGGGCAAGUAAAAUCAGUAGCCUGGAGUGCAGUAGCUGAGGCACAGAGAAUAUUCACAGAUGAGAUGGAGGAGGAGCUUGCUAAACACUUGAAACAACUAGCUGACCAGUUCCACGGCCUUCCUCCAGUUAAGUGCCGUGAAUUGGCAUUUGAAUACGCAAAGAGAAACAAUAUCCCUGUUCCAGCCAAUUGGAUAGAGAAACAAUGUGCAGGUAUGCUAGGGUGUGCAAGUGAUCACAAGCUAAAUAAUAAUGCUAAAUAAUAAUCUUAUAAUAAUAAAUUAUCUACUCUCUAGGAAUAGAGUGGUUUCGGAGGUUUCUUGCACGUUGCCAUCUCUCUGUCCGAACUCCAGAGGCAACAUCCCUGGGAAGGGCUACAGCCUUCAAUAAAACUACAGUAGGGGAGUUCUUCGACAAUCUGGCUGUAGUGAUGGACAGAUCAGCAUGGUCCACAUCCUGAAGAUGACCCAGUCACUGAUGCCAAUCCAUGCACUCCACGAGGUCCACAUGAAUGUGCCUCGCCAGCAGACUCAGAUGUUCCCAGCCGACGUGAAUGUGUGUCUCUUCCUGAAAUUCUACCAUUUCCCAAAUGUCCCCCCAGAGUACAAACCAAAAGAAAGCGUGUGAAGACGGCCAUCCUAACAGAUACCCCGGAGAAGCAGGCAAUAGAAAAGGCUUAUGAAGAGAGGCAAAAGAAACUCGUACGGAAAAAGCAAAAUAGCAAAGAAAAGGGAAAACUGAAAAAGAAAGCACCCUAAAGGAAAAUCAUAGAAAGCAGCUCUGAGGAAAGUGAUGUCCCUGUUCAACUUGAUGAUGAGAGCUCUGAGGAUGAGGGAAGUGAUCCUGAAAACACAGAUUUGAGUGUGGGUGACUUUGUCUUAGUUAACUUUUCCACCAAACACAGGAGUCUCCGUUAUGUUGGCAUGGUUAAGAAUGUUGAGGAUGACGAAGUCCUUAUACAAUUCCUCAGAAGAAUCCAGGGAAACAAACAGUGGGAAAGACCCACGUUUGUUAUAAAAGAAAAUGAUGUGGCACAUGUUCCUAAAGGUGAUGUUGUGAAAAAGCUGCCUCAACCUAAUAGGCCUGGAGGAACCACACGGAGAGAGCAAUUCUUCACCUUUCCCUGUAACUUUCAGGGCUGGAAUGUAGAGUAGGCAUUGUCAUUGAGUAUGAGGCUGAUGUUCUAAUCCAGGUGUGUCCAGCCUCUGUCCUUAGUCCCGAGCUGUUCUAGCUGUUCUAGCCUAUUUUCUGAGCCCCAGUCUGUAGUGUGUUCUAACUGGUUCCGAUUAUGGGUCCAUGUUCUGAGGCCCAGACUGUGCAUUAGCUGGUUCUGCUUGUACUUUGCUCUUGACACCCAGAUACUAGCUAAAGGUCCUGUGUUAUGAUUCUCACACUGUGAAUGUUAAUUAAAACAUUUUGAAGUAUA